rnacentral:rRNA from 1 species
AUGGCCACGGCGCCGCCGUCGGAACCUCCGCCGCAGUCGUCGUCCAGAUCGAAAAAGAGGAGGCGGUGGUGGUGGAGACACAGAGGAGAGGACAGGAGGAAAAGGGGGAGGAGAGGGUGGCGCGCGCAGCGCGGUGGCUUCAGGUCGCCGUCGCCGGCGGCCAGACUUAGCUCGCCGGUGGCCUCGGGCCCCGGCCGCGGAGACAGACCGGAGGACGGCCCAGCCCUCUCUGCAACAGGAAAGAGAAGGGGAACAGGAGGAAAGAGAAGCAGCCAGGCUCACGCGGUGGUGGACGCCGUUGCCGGCGACUGGCGCGACCGGACCGGCCGGCAGAACCGCCGCUGUGGAGACGAACAGCGAGAGGGAGUGAGCGGCGCGUGCGGGGGGGAAUGA